AUGGAAUGCUGGUCUUUAUUGUGUCAGGUUGUGCUGUGCUAUGCGGGGUCUGACUCUGCUAUGCAGCGUUGUGGUGUUGUGUUGUGUUGUGCUGUGCAAUACUGUGCUGUGUUGUUGAGGUGUGCUGUGCUGUGCUGUGUUGUGCUUGCUGUGCUGUGCUGUUGUGCUGUGUUGUUGUGUUGUGCUCUGUUGUGUUGUUGCGGUGUGCUGUGCUGUGCUGUGUUGCUGUGCAGUGCUGUGUUGUGUUGCUGUGCUGUGCUGUGUUGUGUUGCUGUGCUGUGCUGUGUUGUGUUGCUGUGCUGUUGUGUUGUGCUCUGUUGUGUUGUUGCGGUGUGCUGUGCUGUGCUAUUGUGCUGUGUUGUUGUGUUGUGCUCUGUUGUGUUGUUGCGGUGUGCUGUGCUGUGCUGUGCUAUGCUGUGUUCUACUGUUGUGUCCUUUUUGACUGUACUCCAGUGUUCGGCCUGCCCAUGAGUCGACCCUGUGCUCUGACUAAUCCAGGGCCUCCCUGGCCUGCGGCGUGGUGGAUCCCUCAGAGUGCUGUCCUAUUGUCACCGUGCCUUAUCUCACCUUACACAAGGAUGCCCACUCCCAGUGCCAAGCAUGGCUAUUUUUUCCCAAACAAGCAGGGCACUCGACACACGAACAAAAACGGUGUCGUCUUACUCGGGCCGUAAAUUCCUCAACGAAUCCUUUGCUGGGAGGCUACUUGGGGGCCGUACUGAUUUUGUCGUUAACUGUGAUGUCUUUCCAUGCCUUAUCCUCUCUAACCAGUGCUCAGGCAUGGUGGGCAUCUCGGCCAUGAGGCAGUCGUGUAGAGUUGUGUGUGUUUUUGGUGAGGUGCAUAGUGGUUGUUUUUGUUUUUGCCACAGUACUUCAUGCUAUCGAAUGCUAUCUAGUAUUAGUAUUAGUAUUAGUAUUUAUUGUUACACCAUGCUUUUUAUUGCUCUUAGCUUGACUGUUCUCUCCCUUGUACGUCGCUUUGGACAAAAGCGUCUGCUAAAUGACUAAAUGUAAAUGUAAAUGUAAAUGUCUAUCUUGUGCUGUGUUGGAUUGUGUUUCAGGGGUAUUCCAGAGUGCUGUGCUAAAUGGUGCUGUGUUGUUGUAUUAAACAUGAUCAUGAUCGUGUUCUGCUAUUGUAUGCCAGGCUGGUGGAAAACGAUCAAGCUGGUUUAAGACACUGGGCUGAUCUGUGCUGUGCAAUGUUUGUGUGUAUUCAACAGCUAUGCACUGGGUUACAUCAUAUGGGUUGGUGCACCACUGUACUAGAAUAUGUGUGUGUGUGUGUUUGUGUGUGUGUGUGUGUGUGUGUGUGUGCGUGCGUGCGUGCGUGCGUGCGUGCGUGCGUGCGUGCGUGCGUGCGUGCGUGCGUGCGUGCGUGCGUGCGUGCGUGCGUGCGUGCGUGUGUGUGUGUGUGUGUGCGUGCGUGUGUGUGUGUGUGUGUUAUAGAGAGAGGGGAGAGAGAGAGAUUGAC
rnacentral:lncRNA from 1 species